rnacentral:lncRNA from 1 species
GAUCACAGCAGCUUUCAACUGGAGCUAGGCUCUCCAAGGGGGGCUUCCCCGGCUGUCUGUCUGGGGCCCAGAGAGCCCUCCCACACCCAGUGACAGUGACACCCCCGGUCCUUCCGGGAUGUCGCAGGGAGGGCGCCGCAGGUCAGCCAGGUGGGCCUCGUCCUCCUCCAAGGGUCGCCAAGAAAAAGUGAGGCUUAGGAGAUCCCCAGGGAGAUAAAUAUCAAAUUUCAAGAAUUCUUCUCUUGAGGGCCUUGCGGUAAACUAUGAAGAACCCUUAAGCAUGUGAAAUAUGAAACUGCCUGGUAAAAUGAUUGAUUUUCUUGAGGCAACCAGAGGACCCGACAUAUCCGGACCUGAAUUCUCCUGUAAAGACUUCCCUGGGAGUGAAAGGAACUCACAGUAUGAAAUUUCUUCAGAAUAAUACUAUGCUACAAUAUAAGGGACAUUUGCCAAGUGCCCUGAGACCCACCGAGAAAAGUAACACAAGCUUCGAGUGUCGCUGUGAUUAGCGCUGUCAUUUUAACAUGGCUUUUGAUGUUGACACCAGAUCUCCGACGUAAUGGUUUUAUUAUAGGAUGGCUUUGAACUCACUAUGUAGCCUAUGCUGGCCUCAAAUUCAUGGGGGAUCCUCCUGCCUCAGCCUCCCCAGUGCUGGGAUUACAGGCACGCCCACCACUCCUGGCUCUAUUGAUUUUUUUUUUAAAUGAGGACAUAAAUGAAAG